rnacentral:lncRNA from 1 species
GAUUUGAUUAUAUCAGUCAUUGGUCAGCAGAUUAUAUUUUGAUAGAAAUUUAAUUAGUUCCCAAACAAUUGGUCUACUCAACACUGAGUAGUAGGAUCAUGAUCCUCUCCUGAUCUGAUUUUAUUCUGAGCAAAUUCUAUUAAUGUGAUUGGUGGUUAAUAAAUUGAAAAGAAAAAACAGUUAAAUCAUAAUCAUACACUAACACUAAAAGAUAAAUGGCACAAGAUCGGUAAAAGAUCAGGAGUGCUCAGAUCAGG